rnacentral:lncRNA from 1 species
UUCGGACGGCGGACACGUUUAGGAGGGCGGGGAAAAUAGGACAAAGAAAAGAGAUGGGUAAGAUUUGACUAACGUUUGCUUACAGAAUACGUUUGGGAGCUCAAAGAGGGAAAUUAAAAAAGUUUUGUCGCGUUGUGAAAAGUCGCUAGCGUCCGUUACGAUCCUCGUUAUGGGCACGUAUCUCAAAGCUUUGACUGUGGGUCUCUAUUAUACUAUCGGUCCAAUUAUACGUCUCUGCGAGUCUGUUAAUGGUGUCCUUUUUCCAGAGUUUUACCUUGAUUG